rnacentral:rRNA from 1 species
UACAGAGGGUGCAAGCGUUGUUCGGAAUUACUGGGCGUAAAGCGUGCGUAGGUGGUUCGUUAAGUCUGAUGUGAAAGCCCUGGGCUCAACCUGGGAAUGGCAUUGGAAACUGGCGACCUAGAGUGCGGUAGUGGGCAGUGGAAUUCCCGGUGUAGCAGUGAAAUGCGUAGAGAUCGGGAGGAACAUCUGUGGCGAAGGCGACUGCCUGGACCAGCACUGACACUGAGGCACGAAAGCGUGGGGAGCAAACAGG